GUCGGAAACGCUGUGCAGUGGGGGCUGAGCUCAGCUGUGGGGCACAGAGAGGUGCAGGUCACCCACCUGGAGUGGAACAAUGAGGGCAUUGAAGAGAUUG